GAUGAACGCUGGCGGCGUGCCUAAUACAUGCAAGUCGAGCGAACAGACGAGGAGCUUGCUCCUCUGACGUUAGCGGCGGACGGGUGAGUAACACGUGGAUAACCUACCUAUAAGACUGGGAUAACUUCGGGAAACCGGAGCUAAUACCGGAUAAUAUAUUGAACCGCAUGGUUCAAUAGUGAAAGACGGUUUUGCUGUCACUUAUAGAUGGAUCCGCGCCGCAUUAGCUAGUUGGUAAGGUAACGGCUUACCAAGGCAACGAUGUGUAGCCGACCUGAGAGGGUGAUCGGCCACACUGGAACUGAGACACGGUCCAGACUCCUACGGGAGGCAGCAGUAGGGAAUCUUCCGCAAUGGGCGAAAGCCUGACGGAGCAACGCCGCGGGAGUGAUGAAGGUCGUCGGAUCGUAAAACUCUGUUAUUAGGGAAGAACAAAUGUGUAAGUAACUAUGCACGUCUUGACGGUACCUAAUCAGAAAGCCACGGCUAACUACGUGC
rnacentral:rRNA from 1 species